rnacentral:tRNA from 1 species
GCGCCCGUAGCUCAGUUGGAUAGAGCGCCUGCCUUCUAAGCAGGUGGUCGGACGUUCGAUUCGUCCCGGGCGCA